rnacentral:miRNA from 1 species
UGGGUUGGUCAAAAAGUUCGUUUGGGGUUUUCUAUAACAUCUUACGAAAAACUCGAACAAACUUUUUGGCCAACCCA